rnacentral:rRNA from 1 species
UACGAAGGGGGCUAGCGUUGCUCGGAAUCACUGGGCGUAAAGCGCACGUAGGCGGACUCUUAAGUCAGGGGUGAAAUCCUGGAGCUCAACUCCAGAACUGCCUUUGAUACUGGGAGUCUUGAGUUCGGGAGAGGUGAGUGGAACUGCGAGUGUAGAGGUGAAAAUUCGUAGAUAUUCGCAAGAACACCAGUGGCGAAGGCGGCUCACUGGCCCGAUACUGACGCUGAG